rnacentral:lncRNA from 1 species
UUUUUUAUUAUUAUUAUUUUUUUUCUUUUUGAAUUGCCAUGACCAUAAAUAUCAAUGCUACUUUGACUUUAUAAAUUGUGUCAUGGAUGCUACUUUACUACACCAUAGAAUACAUAUUUUUUUCUCUAAUAAGCCAUGUAAGUAGUAGCAUACAAUAUAUAUCAGCAUUGGUAAUUUUAGACAGUGCAUAAAUCAAAAUGAAAUUUAAUUUAACCAAUAAUGCCAGUAGCUUCAUAAAAAUAAACAUAAUGUAAUAUUUGACUGAAGAUAAAAUAAAACAUGCGAAAAAUCCUAAGAUUAAAAAUAUUGUCAAACGAAACUAUAAAUUUCCUAGGACUAAAACUAGUUAACUACAAUUCUUCUAGCCACUUGUAGAAUC